rnacentral:rRNA from 1 species
AUACGUAGGUGCCAAGCGUUAUCCGGAUUUACUGGGCGUAAAGGGCGUGUAGGCGGUCUUGCAAGUCAGAAGUGAAAUUCCUGAGCUCAACUCGGGCGCUGCUUCUGACACUGCAGGACUUGAGUGCUGGAGGGGAUAGCGGAAUUCCUAGUGGAGCGGUAAAAUGCGCAGAUAUUAGGAAGAACACCGGUGGCGAAGGCGGCUAUCUGGACAGUAACUGCCGCUGAGGCGCGAAAGCGUGGGGAGCAAACAGUAUUAGAUCCCCUGGUAGUCCACGCCGUAAACGAUGAAUACUAGGUGUAGGGGGUAUCGACUCCCUCUGUGCCGCAGUUAACACAAUAAGUAUUCCGCCUGGGGAGUACGGCCGCAAGGUUGAAACUCAAAUGAAUUGACGGGG